GGCGGGGUAGCUCAGUUGGUUAGAGUACCGGAUUCAUAAUCCGGCUGUCACGGGUUCGAGUCCCGUCCCCGCUA
rnacentral:tRNA from 1 species